UUUUCCCUGAGUAAAUGAAGUAGACCUGAGUUCCGGCUGCGAACCCGAGGCGUUGGCGGGCUCAGAACCUACGCGCCACACAAAAUUCCCUCCUCUUGGGGUCGCUCGUCCUAGAGGCGCAGGAGACCGUGAGG
ensembl:misc_RNA